CCUACGGGAGGCAGCAGUGAGGAAUAUUGGUCAAUGGACGAGAGUCUGAACCAGCCAAGUCGCGUGAAGGAUGACUGCCCUAUGGGUUGUAAACUUCUUUUAUAUGGGAAUAAAAUGUUCCACGUGUGGGAUUUUGUAUGUACCAUAUGAAUAAGGAUCGGCUAACUCCGUGCCAGCAGCCGAGGUACUACGGCGGAUCCGAGCGUUAUCCGGAUUUAAUGGGUUUAAAGGGAGCGUAGGUGGAAUGUUAAGUCAGUUGUGAAAGUUUGCGGCUCAACCGUAGAAUUGCAUUUGAAACUGGCAGUCUUGAGUACAGUAGAGGUGGGCGGAAUUCGUGGUGUAGCGGUGAAAGGCUUAGAUAUCACGAAGAACUCCGAUUGCGAAGGCAGUUCACUGGACUGCAACUGACACUGAGGCGCGAAAGUGUGGGUAUCAAACAGGAUUAGAUACCCCUGUAGUC
rnacentral:rRNA from 1 species